rnacentral:rRNA from 1 species
CACGAACGCUGGCGGCAGGCUUAACACAUGCAAGUCGAGCGCCCCGCAAGGGGAGCGGCAGACGGGUGAGUAACGCGUGGGAAUCUACCCAUCUCUACGGAAUAACGCAUGGAAACGUGUGAUAAUACCGUAUACGUCCUUCGGGAGAAAGAUUUGUCGGAUAUGGAUGAGACCGCGUUGGAUUGGCUAGUUGUUGGGGUAACGGCAGAACAAGGCGACGAUCCAUAUCUGAGCUGAGAGUAUGAACAGCUACCCUGGUACUAUGACACGGCCCAGACUCCUACGGGAGGCAGCAGUGUGGAAUAUUGGACAAUGGGCGCAAGCCUGAUCCAGCCAUGCCGCGUGAGUGAUGAAUGCCCUAGGGUUGUAAAGCCCUUUCACCGGUGAAGAGAAUGACUGUAACCGGAGAAGAAGCCCCGGCUAACUUCGUGCCAGCCGCCGCCGUAACAC